CUCGAGCCGGACCCGCGGGAGGUGCGGGGCUCCAGCAGCGGUAGCAGCACCGCAGGUGUGCGGGGCUCCGGCCCGGAAAGCAGGACUGCGGGCCUCCGGCUGGGAGAGCGGGACGGCGGGGUUGUGAGCCUCUGGCCUUGAGAGCGGGGCUUCGGGGCUCCGCCUGGGUGGCUGGGCGUCGGGAGUUGCCGCGCUCCAGCCGGGGUCCCUGGGCUCCGGCUGGGUUGGAGGGACUGCGGGGUUGCAGGGCUCCACUCAGGGUAGCGGUGCUGCGGUGUUGCAGGGCUCCAGCCGGGAUAGAGGGGCCGCGGGGUCCCUGGGCUCCGGGAGAGGGAGCAGGACGGUGGGGUUGCAGAGUUCCGGCCAGGGGAGUGGUACCGCGGGGUGACGGAGCUGUGGCCAAAAGAGCGGGGUGGCAGGGCUCUGGCCGGGGUGGCAGGGCAGCGGGAGUUGCAAUGCUCGGCCGUGGGAGCGCAGCCAUGGGUUUGCGGGGCUCCAGCCUCGAGAGCUGGGCUGCGGGUUUCAGGUGAGGAGAGCGGGGCUGCCGGGCUCCGGCCUCGGUAGCAGGGCCACGGGACUUGCCACGCUCUGCUGGGGAAGCGAGACUGUGGGGUUGCGGGGCUCCAGCUGGGGGAGCGGUGUUGCGGGGCUCCGGCUGGGGGAGGAGAGCCAUGGGAUUGCGGGGCUCCUGCCGGGAGAGCAGGGCUGCGGAGUCCCUGGGCUCCAGCCGGGGGAGAGGGACGGCGGGGUUGCGUGGCUCCGGCCGGGAGAGCCGGGCCAAAAGGCAAAAGCUGACAUUAACAUUGUUUCAGUCUCUGUGUUACUUGACAUUGUGUAUUCAGUGUUACCAUAGAAGGGAAGGGCUCUGCAUAGACGGAAAUUUGCCUGGGCAUUGGUAGAAAAUGUUCAGUAAAAUUUUGCUUUAAAAAUUAAA